ACAGGCUAUAAAACUCAUACACAGUUUUUGAGUAUUUUCUGGGCUGCUGUGGCUGGCACCUUAGUGCAACAGUUGUCAAUACCUUGUACUUCAGAGGCUGGUGAGAAGCACUGGUCCAGGAAGGAUGGGCAGAAGAUGCAGCACUAACACAAGCACAAGCUGCAGAGCUACAUCCUGGGAAAGUGCUGGCCUGGAUCCCAAGCCAUUCCUGAUAGUCUGAGAAGAUGCAGUUUAGAAAGGGUAAAAUAAGCAACAGAUCGUCUACAUCAGCUUGAUGUUUUUUAUUAACAUGCCCUGAAAAUCAUCUUCUUCCUGCCACUGAUGUACAUUGAGGUACUUCACAUCAAGCAAAAGCAGCCUUAAGGCUCCACAUCAGCUCUGGCUCCAGAUUUCUCACCUUGCUCCUGAGCCAGACUUGUCUGAAGAGCAGAGAUGACAGCAUGCUUGUGUGGGACCAGGCUGCCUCAGUGGGGCUGACCAGGCUUGAUGGGACCAGCCUGGUUCUUCAUCCUAAGAAGCACAAAAGAAUCCUCUGGGUGUAAAGGAGCAGCUUUGCUCUUGGCCAGGACAGAGGCUCCUGGGUGUUUUGCGUUAGCAGUGACUAAACAGCAAGUGAAGAGCAAGUAGCUGGCGUGAUGUGAUGUGAAGAGCUCCAGUCUCUGCCCCGUGCUGGCCUGAAGGCAGCAGUUCUGCCCCUGGAGCUCUGCAAG